GACGAACGCUGGCGGCGUGCUUAACACAUGCAAGUCGAACGAUGAAGCUGGAGCUUGCUCCGGUGGAUUAGUGGCGAACGGGUGAGUAACACGUGAGUAAUCUGCCCUUGACUCUGGGAUAACUGCGGGAAACUGUAGCUAAUACCGGAUACGACACCUUCGGGCAUCCGAUGGGUGUGGAAAGAAUUUCGGUCAAGGAUGAACUCGCGGCCUAUCAGCUAGUUGGUGAGGUAAAGGCUCACCAAGGCGACGACGGGUAGCCGGCCUGAGAGGGUGACCGGCCACACUGGGACUGAGACACGGCCCAGACUCCUACGGGAGGCAGCAGUGGGGAAUAUUGCACAAUGGGCGAAAGCCUGAUGCAGCAACGCCGCGUGAGGGAUGAAGGCCUUCGGGUUGUAAACCUCUUUUAGUUGGGAAGAAGCGAAAGUGGCGGUACCAACAGAAAAAGCACCGGCUAACUACGUGCCAGCAGCCGCGGUAAUACGUAGGGUGCAAGCGUUGUCCGGAAUUAUUGGGCGUAAAGAGCUCGUAGGCGGUUUGUCGCGUCUGCUGUGAAAAUCCGAGGCUCAACCCCGGACCUGCAGUGGGUACGGGCAGACUAGAGUGCGGUAGGGGAGAAGGGAAUUCCUGGUGUAGCGGUGGAAUGCGCAGAUAUCAGGAGGAACACCAAUGGCGAAGGCACUUCUCUGGGCCGUAACUGACGCUGAGGAGCGAAAGCGUGGGGAGCGAACAGGAUUAGAUACCCUGGUAGUCCACGCCGUAAACGGUGGGUGCUAGUUGUGGGCCACAUUCCACGUGGUCCGUGACGCAGCUAACGCAUUAAGCACCCCGCCUGGGGAGUACGGUCGCAAGACUA
rnacentral:rRNA from 1 species